AACGCGACGAACACCCAAUUACACUGCACACAAAUUGAAAGAGUUCCCUGCAAAAUUGAGAGAUGGGGAAGGUGGGCAGUUGUGUUUCGAAAAAAUUGAUUGAAAUCUUCAACAAUCAUCUUUCCCACAUUU